AUUGAACGCUGGCGGCAUGCCUUACACAUGCAAGUCGAACGGUAACAGGUCUUCGGAUGCUGACGAGUGGCGAACGGGUGAGUAAUACAUCGGAACGUGCCUAGUAGUGGGGGAUAACUACUCGAAAGAGUGGCUAAUACCGCAUGAGAUCUACGGAUGAAAGCAGGGGAUAGCAAGAACUUGUGCUAUUAGAGCGGCGGAUGGCAGAUUAGGUAGUUGGUGGGAUAAAAGCUUACCAAGCCGACGAGCUGUAGCUGGUCUGAGAGGACGAUCAGCCACACUGUGACUGAGACACGGCCCAGACUCCUACGGGAGGCAGCAGUGGGGAAUUUUGGACAAUGGGCGCAAGCCUGAUCCAGCAAUGCCGCGUGCAGGAUGAAGGCCUCCGGGUUGUAAACCGCUUUUGUACGGAACGAAAAGCCCUGGGUUAAUACCCUGGGGUCAUGACGGUACCGUAAGAAUAAGCACCGGCUAACUACGUGCCAGCAGCCGCCGUAA
rnacentral:rRNA from 1 species